GUAUGCUAAUCUGUGUCUGGAAAAGGCUUGAACAUCUGUCUCUAAAAAUGUGUGGCAGUCUGGAGGCAAGAGAAAGUAUAUGCUAUUGCUAUAAAAAUCCUAAAUGGAAUCAGAAGAUUUUGUUUUGAACCCAGUUUUAGCACUGACUGGCAUAUGUGACCUUGAGCAAAAUCACCUUGGCUCUUGGGGCUUUUGUUGUCUCAUAUGGAAAUGUUUAAAUGAAAAGAGCUGCUCAAUAAAGUUCACUGUAUAAUAUACA